rnacentral:rRNA from 1 species
CCGGCGAUGUCCGAAUGGGGAAACCCAGUGUGAUUCGUCACACUAUCGUUAACUGAAUACAUAGGUUAACGAGGCGAACCGGGGGAACUGAAACAUCUAAGUACCCCGAGGAAAAGAAAUCAACCGAGAUUCCCCCAGUAGCGGCGAGCGAACGGGGAGCAGCCCAGAGUCUGAAUCAGCUUGUGUGUUAGUGGAACGGUCUGGAAAGUCCGACGGUACAGGGUGAUAGUCCCGUACACCAAAAUGCACAGGCUGUGAACUCGAAGAGUAGGGCGGGACACGUGGUAUCCUGUCUGAAUAUGGGGGGACCAUCCUCCAAGGCUAAAUACUCCUGACUGACCGAUAGUGAACCAGUACCGUGAGGGAAAGGCGAAAAGAACCCCGGCGAGGGGAGUGAAAAAGAACCUGAAACCGUGUACGUACAAGCAGUGGGAGCACCUUCGGGUGUGACUGCGUACCUUUUGUAUAAUGGGUCAGCGACUUAUAUUCUGUAGCAAGGUUAACCGUAUAGGGGAGCCGCAGGGAAACCGAGUCUUAACUGGGCGUUAAGUUGCAGGGUAUAGACCCGAAACCCGGUGAUCUAGCCAUGGGCAGGUUGAAGGUUGGGUAACACUAACUGGAGGACCGAACCGACUAAUGUUGAAAAAUUAGCGGAUGACUUGUGGCUGGGGGUGAAAGGCCAAUCAAACCGGGAGAUAGCUGGUUCUCCCCGAAAGCUAUUUAGGUAGCGCCUCGUGAACUCAUCUUCGGGGGUAGAGCACUGUUUCGGCUAGGGGGUCAUCCCGACUUACCAACCCGAUGCAAACUACGAAUACCGAAGAAUGUUAUCACGGGAGACACACGGCGGGUGCUAACGUCCGUCGUGAAGAGGGAAACAACCCAGACCGCCAGCUAAGGUCCCAAAGUCAUGGUUAAGUGGGAAACGAUGUGGGAAGGCACAGACAGCCAGGAUGUUGGCUUAGAAGCAGCCAUCAUUUAAAGAAAGCGUAAUAGCUCACUGGUCGAGUCGGCCUGCGCGGAAGAUGUAACGGGGCUAAACCAUGCACCGAAGCUGCGGCAGCGACACUAUGUGUUGUUGGGUAGGGGAGCGUUCUGUAAGCCUGCGAAGGUGACCUGUGAGGGUUGCUGGAGGUAUCAGAAGUGCGAAUGCUGACAUAAGUAACGAUAAAGCGGGUGAAAAGCCCGCUCGCCGGAAGACCAAGGGUUCCUGUCCAACGUUAAUCGGGGCAGGGUGAGUCGACCCCUAAGGCGAGGCCGAAAGGCGUAGUCGAUGGGAAACAGGUUAAUAUUCCUGUACUUGGUGUUACUGCGAAGGGGGGACGGAGAAGGCUAUGUUAGCCGGGCGACGGUUGUCCCGGUUUAAGCAUGUAGGCUGGUUAUCCAGGCAAAUCCGGAUAAUCAAGGCUGAGGUGUGAUGACGAGG